UUAUUAUUAUUAUUAUUAUUUGAAAUGAGUUGAGAUUCAUAUUUAAGAUUGCUUAAAAAGAAUUGAAUUUUAUAUUGUGUACAAAAUUCAAUAUAAUUUCUAGCAAGGUGUUUAUUCUUGCCCAUUCCUAGUAGGAGAGGAACUUGUGUGACAUUAUCUUUUUGUCUAAAUUCAACUUUAGUUAUUGUUAAUCGAUGCCUAUGAUUGAAGUGAAACCCUAAAUUAAAAUUUUAAUCCUCAAAUUGCCCUUAGCAAGAAUAAUGGAAAAAGGAAAUUUUCACACACUCUGUCUCAUCUGACUACAUCCAAAUUCUAAUGCUUCUACUUUUUUCAUUGUCCCGAACUCCAAAUAUCCCUAAACCUUACCCAAUUCUAACCUUGUAAAUUCUUCUCAUUAAUCCAAUUUUUUAGAUCCAAACCAAUCUUUUGGACAAAUUAAAGUUUAGUUACAAAAUUGGGGAAGAGAGGAGAGAUGAAUGGAUCUAAGAAAAAUGCCCAGUGAAGCAAAGAUAUUAUCUUUUAUCGAUGACCUCUCACUCUAAAAUGGCAAAAUUAUGAAUAAACUACAUUGACAAAUCAUCAUAUGGACAAAUCAGCUAUCUUGUAAUCUCCCUAUUCUUUUCAUUUGACAGCCUUCUCUUUUAGCAUCCCAUGCCCUGUACGUGGCAUGGCAAACUUAAAUUCAACACUAUGUACAAUUUUUUUUGAUAAAAAAGUCAUCUUCUUCUUGCAUUAUGAAUUUCUUUUUUCCCUUGCUUGAUUAGAAUAUGAUUAGAGUUCAAACUCAUAACAAUCUUAAAAGAUGUUUAUUUUAUUAAUUUUAACAAUGCCCUGCCAUGCCAUGCCAUGCAGAUAAUUAAAAUUCUUGAAGGAACUAUACCUAUGGAGGGGAGGAUAUCUCUUCACGGAGGCGCUCAUAUUGAUCUACAAUCAACACUUGGCAUUGCGAGCUUACAAAUUACUUCGCCAAUAAUCUUUACUUAUCAAGAACUAGCAGAGGCAACAAAUCAUUUCUCUAACAAAUACAUGCUUGGAGAAAGUGGUUUUGGUAUAGUUUAUAAGGGAUCCCUUGGAAAUAAUGGGAUCGUUGCAAUUAAGAAGCUUAAAUAUCUUGGCGAAGAACAAAGCACAAGUGAAUUUGAGGAAGAGAUUAAGGCCAUUAGCCGCAUCUGUUACCAACAUCUUGUCAAGCUUAUUGGAUACUGCAUUGAAGGAUUCAAUAGAUUGCUUGUUUCUGAGUUUGUUCCCAACAAGUCCUUGCGAUUUCAUUUACAUGAAAAUAUGAGAGAAACUAUCAGUUGGUCAACCAGAAUGACAAUUGCCAAAGAUAUUGCAAAAGGAUUGACAUAUUUACAUGAAUGGUGUGAGUAUUUACCUACUUAGUAAGUCUGAUUUUUUUUUUCUUCAUGUUUAAGGAAUUCAUCACUUAUUUUUCACUUUAUAUAUUUUUAGAUAAGCCGAAAAUCAUACAUGGAAAUAUUAAGGCGGAUAACAUUCUUCUUGAUAAUACUUUUGAACCUAAGGUAAGAUUUACGAGGAAUAAAAUUUUAUGCAUGCUCGUAUGCAUUUUAUUAAUCUCUAUAUCUAUUUGUAUGUGCAGUUUUUUUCUAUAAUAUCUCCCAAAUUUAGUUUUAUCUUGUAUGAUCCCAAGAGAAUCUAAUGAUCUACCUUUAAGGUUUGAACUAGAGUCCUUGAAGUAGGGGGUCAUUAUUAUAUAUUUAUUAUUGAACUGAGAUAAUUUGAAAUCCAAUUUUUUUAGUUGAAAAUUUUGAAUUGAUCACCUAAUUGCAACGUUAGGAUCGGCUUCUUUUUCUUCACAAAACUUAGCCCAAGUUUAGAUAAAGAGAAUAUCUACAAUAGAAUGAUGCUAUUAGUAUUGUAUCUUAAUUUUGUUUCAGACUUUUAGAUAAAGGAGAAUCAAUGAAUAUGUUUCUAUUAGUAUAUAACUCUAAACACAUCUCUAACAUGUUAUAUUGUUGUUCUAUGUUGUGUUUGUUUUCUACCAUCUUACUUAAGCCUCCUAAGUUUUAAAAUUUUAAUUGGAUUAUAU
rnacentral:misc_RNA from 1 species